UACCAGCACCCCGAGUGGUCGGGACGAUUAUUGGGCCUAAAGCAUCCGUAGCCGGUCCUGCAAGUCUUCCGUUAAAUCCAGCUGCUCAACAGAUGGGCUGCGGGAGAUACUACAGGGCUAGGAGGCGGGAGAGGCAAGCGGUACUUUAUGGGUAGGGGUAAAAUCCGCUGAUCCAUAGAAGAACACCAGUGGCGAAGGCGGCUCACUGGCCCGGUACUGACGCUGAGGCGCGAAAGCGUGGGUAGCAAACAGG
rnacentral:rRNA from 1 species